UUAAGCGCAGCAAAACUUGGGUUAGUUUUUUUAAAAGCAGGAAGAUAAUGGUUUACAUUCAGAACCUAGUAGUUUAAUAUUUAGCACGGCAUCAGUUGUAUUAAAUGGAUUAUUUUACAAGCUCUAGGAGUUUCAUAUUUUUAUGACUUGAAAGUUCUCAUUCUUAAGAAAUGUAAAAUUAAUGCCAGUUUUUGACUAGCUAACGGAAAUUUGUAACACUACCUAUAAUUUAGCCUUACAGGCUUCUACAAUAAAGUAAUUCAUUUUUUUGUGGAAUUAUAUUAAGUGAGCUAUUUGGGCUAGUUAAAUAUUUACUAAUGACUUCUCCCAUUAGCACACAAGUAUAUUAUUCCCUAUUCUAAAAGAUUGUAAUAUUACUUUUUCAAUAACUGCUCUUUUGUUCUCAAUUCCAGUUCAGUAGCUGCUGCUUUAAACAUAAGUUGAUUUCUUCCAAAGACCUGAGGCAGCAGCAGUGGGCUAUCACUGGGCCACUAGCUUUCUUCAGCAGCGAAUGGUAUCAAUGGCAGUGCAGCACUGUACAUACUGCUACUUUACCCAGUUGGGUUGCAAUUGAGUGAGAAAGUAUUGCAAACCUCUAAGUGGGCUUUGACUGUCAGACUUGUAUUUUUUUUUUGUUUGUUACAAAAAAACGUAGUUGGUUUAGUGAUGAGAAUGCACAACUCUGGGUGUGAUAAAUAGACCAAAGGAUAAAAAUAACUGUUUCAAAAGUAUCAGCUGUGGUGUCAGCCUGCUGUGUUAGAUGGAAGGCAUUGGAGCUUAGCUUCUCAUGUUUUCUUGUACAAAUUGGCUUUAUUCAGAUUUGUAAGAGUGUCAAUGUAAAACUCUUUCUGACUGGAAUAUCCUUUACAGAAGGUUCAGAUAGUCAUCUGAGCCUUUUUAAAAGAAAAAACUGCAGGUGAAAAAGGAGUUAGUUGAUUUGAAAGUUUUAGUGAAAUUCUGGGUUGUAUAAAUAAGUUGCUAGGAAUUGGCAAGGUAGUGAAGUGGUGACUCACGCAGGUAAUGUAAUUGUUAGAUUUUUUAGCAAAUCAGUUAGAAAUAUGUCAAUAUAAGUACAAUGCUGAAUUCAAACAAUCUGUUGAAUUAAAUUUUGUUUAUUAGAGUAAUUCUAAUUUAAGAAAAAUUCCAAACUGUAGAUUUAUUUUUCUUUGAUCAGUGAAAAGAAAAUGAAUUCCAGUUUGACUUUAGCUGUUCAAGUGAGAAGUCUGAGAAAGUGCAUGUUAAUGAGCCAGUGACCCAUAGGUAGCUGGGUUAAAGACACUUUGGAUUUGGAUAAUCCGGGAAGCAAUUAAUCCCUAAUUGUUGAACAGGCAGUCCUGGGUAAAGAGGACCUAAAAUGCUGCACUAUUAACAGCAUUAGACGGCCAGGUUUGUACUUCAUAGAUGUAGGCUGUCGUCUUCACAAGUUUUAGAAAAAGAAUUUAGGAGCUAGAGCCCUGGUGCAGGAUCAACAGCAGUUCGUACUCCUAUUUUAAAAUAAUUUGGUCGUGGCCUGCCUUCAGUUUUAAUGUGGCACUGGUAAAUCUACCUGGUUCUGGCAUGCUUCACUUUGAUUUCCUGCUAUCCUCUACUGCUUGCCUCUAAAUCAAGGUAAAGAGCAGAGCAGGUAUGUAUUAAUGUCACAUUGUCUUGAUUAUUUUAAAUACUUAAAAUAUACAUGUAAAACCUUGGUAUUAGUUUCACAGGCAGUUUAGUUUUCAGUACACAAUUUAACAGGAGUGACUUGGUGGGAGUGGGGCUUUAAACUGAAAAUUGGAACAACAGCAUGAUGUGGAGAAAAGUUGUGCAGCAUUAAGAAGUACAUGCAAAAAUUAAGUAACCAAGUUUUGUCUACAUAGCAGAUAUGUUUACAUUGGAUGUCAGAAGUAACACAGUAUUUGAUAUAAUUACAGAUAAUUGUGAUCUACAUUUUAAAAUAUCAAGAGAUCGUCUCAGUGCUUCUUCCCUUACAAUGGAGAGUUUUGCUUUUCUUUGGGCUGGAGGAAGAGCAUCCUAUGGUGUGUCAAAAGGCAAAGUGUGUUUUGAGAUGAAGGUAAAUGUAAUUUUAUGAUUUGUUUGUUUGUUUUUGGAGACAGUCUCACUCUGUCCCCUAGGCUGGAUUGCCGUGGUGCAACCUAGGCUCACUGCAACCUCCGUGUCCUGGGUUCAAGUGAUUCUCCUUGCCUCAGUCUCUCAAGUAGCUGGGACUAAAGGCAGACACCACCACACCUGGCUACUUUUUGUAUUUUUAAUAGAGAUGGGGUUUCACCAUGUAGGCCAGGCUGGUCUCCAACUCCUGACCUCAGGUUAUCCACUGUCUCAGCCUCCCAAAGUGCUGGGAUUACAGGCAUGAGCCACCAUGCCCAGCCUUUUUUUUCUUUUUAAAAGAGUGACAGGGUCUCAUCAUGUUGCCCAGGCUGGUCUUGAACUCCUAAGCUCAAGUGAUCUGCCCGCCUGAGCCUCCCAGAAUGCUGAAAUUAAAGGUGCUUCAUACUGCUAAGUUAUCAAAGGUACUUAUUUUUGAAGCUUCCUGUAAAUUAAAAGAGGAGCUUGGAGUCUUCAUUUUGUUGUUGUGACAGUUAAUCACGGUUGUUAUGUUAGAACUUGCCAUGCAGAGCUAGGCGAUUUUUUAUUUAGGGUACUUCAUUUUUAUCACGCAUUUGAAAGGGCCACCAAAGAGUUAAAAAUAAAAUUUGGUUAGAUUACUGCUUUUGUUGGUGAGAAAAACAUUACUUGUAUCCUUUAAUUGGCUUUAAGUUAAAGACAGACAACAUGAACUUUAAAAAUAUUAAGUAUUCUUUUAAAUAUGGAUCAAAUAAGUAUUAAACUCUUUAAAUUUCAAGUUGUAAGCAAAUCAGUUUAAAGUUCUUAGAAAUAUUGGGGGUGGGCUAGAGUGUGCCUUCUUUGUAUUUAUAGCUAGAGGAAGAUUAGCCCAUGGCGCAAUGAAAUAAGCCAGAGUUAAGGGGUUACCUCCUUGGUGUAUUAUUUUAAUUAUUUAAUGAUUUGACUUUCAGGUUACAGAGAAGAUCCCAGUAAGGCAUUUAUAUACAAAAGAUAUUGACAUACAUGAAGUUCGUAUUGGCUGGUCACUAACUACAAGUGGAAUGUUACUUGGUGAAGAAGAAUUUUCUUACGGGUAUUCUCUAAAAGGAAUAAAAACAUGCAACUGUGAGACUGAAGAUUAUGGAGAAAAGUUUGAUGAAAAUGAUGUGAUUACAUGUUUUGCUAACUUUGAAAGUGAUGAAGUAGAACUCUCCUAUGCUAAGAAUGGUCAAGAUCUUGGCAUUGCCUUCAAAAUCAGUAAGGAAGUUCUUGCUGGACGGCCACUCUUCCCGCAUGUUCUCUGCCACAACUGUGCAGUUGAAUUUAAUUUUGGUCAGAAGGAAAAGCCAUAUUUUCCAAUACCUGAAGAGUAUACUUUUAUCCAGAAUGUCCCCUUAGAGGAUCGAGUUAGAGGACCAAAGGGGCCUGAAGAGAAGAAAGAUUGUGAAGUUGUGAUGAUGAUUGGCUUGCCAGGAGCUGGAAAAACUACCUGGGUUACUAAGCAUGCAGCAGAAAAUCCAGGGAAAUAUAACAUUCUUGGCACAAAUACUAUUAUGGAUAAGAUGAUGGUAAGUAAAAUGUUUAGGGCCUGAUCUCAGUGUUUAAAAUAGACUAGGAGAGGCUGGGCAUGGUGGUUCACGCCUGUAAUCUCAGCAUUUUGGGAGGCUGAGGUGGAUGGAUCACCUGAGGUCAGGAGUUUGAGACCCACCUGGCCAACAUGGCAAAGCCCCGUUCCUACUAAAAAUAAAAAAAUUAGCUGGGCGUGGUAGUGGGUGCCUGUAAUCCCAGCUGCUCGGGAGGCUGAGGCAGGGACAAUUACUUGAACCUGGGAGGCAGAGGUUGCAGUGAGUUGAGAUCAUGCCAUUGUACUACAGUCUGGGCAACAGAGCAACACUCCGUCUCAG
rnacentral:sRNA from 1 species